rnacentral:rRNA from 1 species
CAUGCAGGCGGUCUGUUAAGCAAGAUGUGAAAGCCCGGGGCUCAACCUCGGAACAGCAUUUUGAACUGGCAGACUAGAGUCUUGUAGAGGGGGGUAGAAUUUCAGGUGUAGCGGUGAAAUGCGUAGAGAUCUGAAGGAAUACCGGUGGCGAAGGCGGCCCCCUGGACAAAGACUGACGCUCAGAUGCGAAAGCGUGGGGAGCAAACA